rnacentral:rRNA from 1 species
UACGAAGGGGGCUAGCGUUGUUCGGAAUUACUGGGCGUAAAGCGUGCGCAGGCGGCUUCUCAAGUCAGGGGUGAAAGCCCAGAGCUCAACUCUGGAAUUGCCUUUGAGACUGAGUGGCUUGAGUACGAGAGAGGUGAGUGGAAUUCCCAGUGUAGAGGUGAAAUUCGUAGAUAUCGGGAGGAACACCUGUGGCGAAAGCGGCGCACUGGACCACAACUGACGCUGAUGCGCG